rnacentral:misc_RNA from 1 species
GAUGAAGAACGUAGUGAAAUGCGAUAAGUAAUGCGAAUUGCAGAAUUUCCGUGAGUCAUCGAGUCUUUGAACGCACAUUGCGCCCCCUGGUAUUCCGGGGGGCAUGCCUGUCCGAGCGUCAUUGCUGCCCUCAAGCACGGCUUGUGUGUUGGGCCUCCGUCCUCCUCCCGGGGGACGGGCCCGAAAGGCAGCGGCGGCACCGCGUCCGGUCCUCGAGCGUAUGGGGCUUCGUCACCCGCUCUUGUAGGCCCGGCCGGCGCUUGCCGACACAUCAAUCUUUUUUCCAGGUUGACCUCGGAUCAGGUAGGGAUACCCGCUGAACUUAAGCAUAUCAAUAAGCGGAGGA